GUCCUGCAGAAAGAUGAACAGUCACCCCAGUUUGAGGUGAAAUUGCAGAGCUCUCGCUCAAAAUGUGUUGACCAACAUUUCUCCAAAAUUUACGAGGGAAGUACGUUGCUUUAAGAUUUGUGGCAUUAAGUCGUUUGAGUCACAGUUCAAGUGCAGAUUACUAAACUAACAACGAAUAUAAAAGAUUUCUUUUACUAUUGCAAGAAAAAAUAUUUCACAUACAAAACAAGCGGGUUUGUCGGACAAAGUGCACAGAAACCUUUUCACGUGAUCAGUAGUCCAUCUUUGUUGUCACCUACAUUUUACAUUGAUGACAGAUCUCCAUUUUGUGCCCAAUCUAAAACUAAUGAAUAAAAUGUGGAAUAUCCCAUAGUACCACUAGUGGGCAUAAUUGAGUCUUCAGACUAGGAAAGUUUCGGUUUCCAGCCAUAAAAUGUUUCAAAUUUGUGGUGUUGUGAUAUGGACCUUUACUACCUCCUACUGGCUGUAAGAAGUCUGUUUCGUGAGCUGUUGGAUAAUAAUAAUGCUCAUGCUCCUGGUGAGUCAGAACAUUUACAGCUACGUUUCAUUACAGAGAGAAAUAUUAAUUGAUUUUAUUCAGCUUUCAGAUAUUUCUGUAUAUGUGUACACAUAUUUCUGUCCCUUCACAUCCCAACAUGAGGUGCUUGUCCACUGCAAGGACUCGUGUUUGGGUCCUAGAUCUAAAACCACAAAUGAUUCAUAAUUAGGGCCCACUGGUGACCAAAUCCUACAUCAGAACAGCUGCAUUUAAUUAGUUCAUCAUUACAGUUGUGCAUAUUAACAUUCAAAAUUAAGGAUUUUUCAGCAAUUAGACACAAAACUGAUUUAUGAUGUCACAAAGCAACAGAUUAGAAGUCCUCCACAGUACUUCAGUGUUUUCAGCAGUUUAGAUGCUCGGUGCUUGCAGGUCACUGUUGCAAACUAAUGGUGGCACCACAGCAGCUCUGACUGAUCUUUAGGCCCCUCCCCUUUAGACCCAGGUGCAGAAAAUAGAUCAGGAUGACAUCAGCUUAAAAAUGCCACUCCAGUGUUGGACCAGAAGCUUCACAAAUCUUCAUCGUUAAGUGUGGCUCAAAUACACGUUAAAAAUAAAACUCAAAUCUAGUGCAGUAAAUUGGUCCUGUGGAAUGCUUAUUCAAGUUAAAAUGUUUUACAUUUCAGAUUUUUAUUGUGUGUGUGUGUG